GACGAACGCUGGCGGCGUGCCUAAUACAUGCAAGUAGGACGCAGUUGCGAACGGGUGAGUAACGCGUAGGUAAAUGCCUAUUAGAGGGGGAUAAAUAUUGGAAACGAUAGCUAAUACCGCAUUCUAGUAGAUGGACCUGCGUUGUAUUAGCUCGUAGGUAGGUUAAUGGCCGACCUAGGCAACGAUACAUAGCCGACUGGGGAGAGUGAUCGUGCACGCGUGGAAUGAUACGCGGGCCAGACUCCUAAGGGAGGCAGCAUGAAGGAUUCUUCGGCAAUGUGGGGAACCCUGACCGAGCAACGCCGCGUAAGAUGAGAAGGUUUUCGGAUCUUAAAGCUCUGGUGUUAAGGAAUCGGUACUUAACCAGAAAGGGACGGCUAACUACGUGCCAGCAGCCGCGGUAAUAC
rnacentral:rRNA from 1 species